GAUGAACGCUAGCGGCAGGCCUAAUACAUGCAAGUCGAGGGGCAGCACGGUAGCAAUACUGGUGGCGACCGGCGCACGGGUGCGUAACGCGUAUGCAACUUACCCUUUACAGGGAGAUAGCCCGGAGAAAUUCGGAUUAAUAUCCCAUAGUAUAUAGAUUUGGCAUCAGAUUUAUAUUAAAGAUUUAUCGGUAAAGGAUGGGCAUGCGUGUCAUUAGCUAGUUGGUGAGGUAAUGGCUCACCAAGGCGACGAUGACUAGGGGUACUGAGAGGUUACACCCCCACACUGGUACUGAGACACGGACCAGACUCCUACGGGAGGCAGCAGUAAGGAAUAUUGGUCAAUGGGCGCAAGCCUGAACCAGCCAUGCCGCGUGAAGGAUGACGGCCCUAUGGGUUGUAAACUUCUUUUGUACGGGAAAAAACCACCGGUCGUGUAUCGGUGCUGAUGGUACCGUAAGAAUAAGCAUCGGCUAACUCCGUGCCAGCAGCCGCGGUAAU
rnacentral:rRNA from 1 species